GCAAGUAUGAAGCGAAGAGGAAAAGAAAAAGAAAAAAAAAGAAAAAGAAAAAAGAGAAGAAAGAGA
rnacentral:ribozyme from 1 species